GAUGAACGCUGGCGGCGUGCUUAACACAUGCAAGUCGAACGAAGAAAAUCUGAUUGAGAGCUUCGGCAGGAUUUCAUUUUUUCUUAGUGGCGGACGGGUGAGUAACGUGUGGGCAACCUGCCCUGUACUGUGGAAUAAUCACUGGAAACGGUGACUAAUACCGCAUGUCAUCACCGGAGGGCAUCCUCUGGUGAAAAAAAGGNUUUAUUCGGUACAGGAUGGGCCCGCAUCUGAUUAGCUAGUUGGUGAGAUAACAGCCCACCAAGGCACGAUCAGUAGCCGACCUGAGAGGGUGAUCGGCCACAUUGGGACUGAGACACGGACCAGAC
rnacentral:rRNA from 1 species